rnacentral:rRNA from 1 species
AUUGAACGCUGGCGGCAUGCUUUACACAUGCAAGUCGAACGGUAACAGGUUAAGCUGACGAGUGGCGAACGGGUGAGUAAUGCAUCGGAACGUGCCCGAUCGUGGGGGAUAACGCAGCGAAAGCUGCGCUAAUACCGCAUACGAUCUGAGGAUGAAAGCGGGGGACCGUAAGGCCUCGCGCGAUCGGAGCGGCCGAUGUCAGAUUAGGUAGUUGGUGGGGUAAAGGCCCACCAAGCCGACGAUCUGUAGCUGGUCUGAGAGGACGACCAGCCACACUGGGACUGAGAAACGGCCCAGACUCCUACGGGAGGCAGCAGUGGGGAAUUUUGGACAAUGGGCGAAAGCCUGAUCCAGCAAUGCCGCGUGCAGGAAGUAGGCCUUCGGGUUGUAAACUCCUUUUGUACGGAGCGAAAAGGUCCUUUCUAAUACAAGGGGCUCAUGACGGUACCGUAAGAAUAAGCACCGGCUAACUACGUGCCAGCAGCCGCAGUAAAAC